UAACUCCAUGUAUGCAAUUAG
rnacentral:piRNA from 1 species